AGUGAACGCUGGCGGCGUGCCUAACACAUGCAAGUCGAACGAUGAUGGAGAGCUUGCUCUCCUGAUUAGUGGCGCACGGGUGAGUAUACCAUAGAUAAUGUACCUCUUAGUUCGGGAUAGCCACUGGAAACGGUGAUUAAUACCGGAUACUCCUUCUAGUCUUAAGGCAAGUCGGGAAAGUUUUUUCGCUAAGAGAUCAGUCUAUGUCCUAUCAGCUAGUUGGUGAGGUAAUGGCUCACCAAGGCAAUGACGGGUAUCUGGUUUGAGAGGAUGAUCAGACACACUGGAACUGAGACACGGUCCAGACCCCUACGGGAGGCAGCAGUGAGGAAUAUUGCACAAUGGAGGAGACUCUGAUGCAGCAACGCCGCGUGGAGGAUGACGCAUUUCGGUGUGUAAACUCCUUUUAAGAGGGAAGAUAAUGACGGUACCUCUUGAAUAAGCACCGGCUAACUCCGUGCCAGCCGCCGCCGUAA
rnacentral:rRNA from 1 species